rnacentral:rRNA from 1 species
GCAAGUCGAGGGGUAACAGGGAAUCUUUCUUUCGCUUACUACCGGCGCACGGGUGCGUAACGCGUAUGCAACCUACCUCAUACUGGAGGAUAGCCCUUGGAAACGAGGAUUAAUACUCCAUGGUAUCAUGAAUUCGCAUGUUUUUAUGAUUAAAGUUUUUCGGUAUGAGAUGGGAAUGCGUCCCAGUAGCUAGUUGGUGAGGUAACGGAUCACCAAGGCGACGAUGGGUAGGGGGCCUGAGAGGGUGAGC